rnacentral:rRNA from 1 species
CACGUAGGGGCCAAGCGUUGUCCGGAUUUAUUGGGCGUAAAGAGCUCGUAGGCGGGUUGUUAAGUCGGGGGUGAAAUCCUGGAGCUCAACUCCAGAACUGCCUUCGAUACUGGCGACCUUGAGUCCGGGAGAGGUGAGUGGAAUUCCCGGUGUAGCGGUGAAAUGCGCAGAUAUCGGGAAGAACACCCGUGGCGAAGGCGGCUCUCUGGGACGGUACUGACGCUGAGACGCGAAAGCGUGGGGAGCGAACAGG